UACGUAAAAGACUAGUGUUAGUCAUCUUUAUUAGGUUUAAAGGGUGCGCAGGCGGUUGGGUGUGUCAGAUGUGAAAUCCCGAGGCUUAACCUCGGAACUGCGUCUGAAACUACUCGACUAGAGUAUUGGAGAGGGUAACGGAAUUCACGGUGUAGCAGUGAAAUGCGUAGAUAUCGUGAGGAACACCAGAGGCGAAGGCGGUUACCUGGACAAUUACUGACGCUCAGGCACGAAAGCAUGGGGAGCAAAAGGG
rnacentral:rRNA from 1 species